rnacentral:rRNA from 1 species
UGGGGAAUAUUGCACAAUGGGGGAAACCCUGAUGCAGCGACGCCGCGUGAACGAAGAAGGUAUUCGUAUCGUAAAGUUCUGUCCUAUGGGAAGAUAAUGACAGUACCAUAGAAGAAAGCUCCGGCUAAAUACGUGCCAGCAGCCGCGGUAAUACGUAUGGAGCGAGCGUUGUCCGGAAUUAUUGGGCGUAAAGGGUACGCAGGCGGUUUAAUAAGUCGAAUGUUAAAGAUCGGGGCUCAACCCCGCAAAGCAUUGGAAACUGAUAAUCUUGAGUAGUGGAGAGGAAAGUGGAAUUCCUAGUGUAGUGGUGAAAUACGUAGAUAUUAGGAGGAAUACCAGUAGCGAAGGCGACUUUCUGGACACAAACUGACGCUGAGGUACGAAAGCGUGGGGAGCAAACAGG